rnacentral:rRNA from 1 species
UUUCGGAGGAAAAGAAACCAACAGGGAUUGCCCCAGUAACGGCGAGUGAAGCGGCAACAGCUCAAAUUUGAAAUCUGGCUCUCGGGCCCGAGUUGUAAUUUGUAGAGGAUGCUUUUGGUGAGGUGCCUUCCGAGUUCCCUGGAACGGGACGCCAUAGAGGGUGAGAGCCCCGUCUGGUUGGACACCGAUCCUCUGUAAAGCUCCUUCGACGAGUCGAGUAGUUUGGGAAUGCUGCUCUAAAUGGGAGGUAUAUGUCUUCUAAAGCUAAAUACCGGCCAGAGACCGAUAGCGCACAAGUAGAGUGAUCGAAAGAUGAAAAGAACUUUGAAAAGAGAGUUAAAAAGUACGUGAAAUUGUUGAAAGGGAAGCGCUUGUGACCAGACUUGGGCUUGGUUGAUCAUCCGGGGUUCUCCCCGGUGCACUCUUCCGGCUCAGGCCAGCAUCAGUUCGCCCUGGGGGAUAAAGGCUUCGGGAAUGUGGCUCUCUCCGGGGAGUGUUAUAGCCCGCUGCGUAAUACCCUGUGGCGGACUGAGGUUCGCGCAUUCGCAAGGAUGCUGGCGUAAUGGUCAUCAGUGACCCGUCUUGAACCACGGGACC